UACGUGAGGGGGCAAGCGUUGUCCGGAUUUAUUGGGCGUAAAGAGCUCGUAGGCGGUCUGUCGCGUCGGUCGUGAAAACUUGGGGCUUAACCCUGAGCUUGCGGUCGAUACGGGCAUGACUGGAGUUCGGCAGGGGAGGACUGGAAUUCCUGGUGUAGCGGUGAAAUGCGCAGAUAUCAGGAGGAACACCGGUGGCGAAGGCGGGUCUCUGGGCCGAUACUGACGCUGAGGAGCGAAAGCGUGGGGAGCGAACAGG
rnacentral:rRNA from 1 species